rnacentral:lncRNA from 1 species
UAUCAUUUCUCAUUAAAGUUCUUUUAACACUCACAGCUUUAUCAGUUACCAGCAAGCUCAUCACAGCAGCCAGCUGAAAGUUAUUAUGGAAAAUGGGUAAAUUGGAGUCUUUAAAGGAGCUGCCAACUUGCAUUUGCCUGAGUUACUUCAGCAGUGGAGAGGAGAGGAAGAAUUCCAGACACGUCAUCCUGAUUUCACAAGUGUGCAGAGAUCUCCAGAGUGGACUUGCCCAUCUGUGUGAGGAGGAAGGCUAUACAUGCAAAUUCAGAUUCCUGAAGCAUUCCCACUAACUCUGCCCUUCUGUUCUGGCAGAACGCGGAAAAACUGUGGGGUUUGUGUUUUCUUUUAUU